AUUGAACGCUGGCGGCAGGCCUAACACAUGCAAGUCGAGCGAGCGGCGGACGGGUGAGUAAUGUAUGGGGACUGCCCGAUAGAGGGGGAUCACUACUGGAAACGGUAGCUAAUAACGCAUACUAUCGGAUAACCCAUAUGGGAUUAGCUAGUAGGUGAGGUAAUGGGGCACCUAGGCUACGAUCCACAGCUGGUCAGAGAGGAUGAUCAGCCACACUGGGACUAAGACACGGCCAAGACUACCACGGAGGCAGCAGUGGGGAAUAUGGCACAAUGGGCGCAAGCCUGAUGCAGCCAUGCCGCGUGUAUGAAGAAGGCCCUAGGGUUGUAAAGUACUUUCAGUCGGGAGGCGUUACCGACAGAAGAAGCACCGGCUAACUCCGUGCCAGCCGCCGCGGUAAUAC
rnacentral:rRNA from 1 species